rnacentral:rRNA from 1 species
UGGGGAAUAUUGCACAAUGGAGGAAACUCUGAUGCAGCAACGCCGCGUGAGGGAAGACGGUUUUCGGAUUGUAAACCUCUGUCCUUGGUGAAGAUAAUGACGGUAGCCAAGGAGGAAGCUCCGGCUAACUACGUGCCAGCAGCCGCGGUAAUACGUAGGGAGCAAGCGUUGUCCGGAUUUACUGGGUGUAAAGGGUGCGUAGGCGGCUUUACAAGUCAGGCGUGAAAUAUAUGGGCUUAACCCAUAGACUGCGUUUGAAACUGUAGAGCUUGAGUGAAGUAGAGGUAGGCGGAAUUCCCGGUGUAGCGGUGAAAUGCGUAGAGAUCGGGAGGAACACCAGUGGCGAAGGCGGCCUACUGGGCUUUAACUGACGCUGAGGCACGAAAGCAUGGGUAGCAAACA